rnacentral:tRNA from 1 species
GAAAUAGGAAAAAUUAAGCUUCUAACUUAAUAUAAAGCGAUUUAAACCGUUUAUAUUUCU